AGUUUGCCUAGUGGUUAAGGCGAUGGAUCGUCAAUCCGGAGACGGCGGGUUCGAUUUCCGUUCCAAACUA
rfam:Aedes albopictus isolate Foshan contig108866, whole genome shotgun sequence.